GUGCUCAUUUUGGCAGCACAUACACUAAAAUUGGAAUGAUACAGAGAUUAGCAUAGCUCCUGCCCAAGGAUAGCAAGGACAUUUGUGAAGCGUUCCAUAAUUUU